ACUCCUACGGGAGGCAGCAGUGGGGAAUCUUGCGCAAUGGGGGAAACCCUGACGCAGCAACGCCGCGUGGGUGAUGAAGGCCUUCGGGUCGUAAAGCCCUGUCAGGUGGGAAGAAACUUGUGGAUGUUAAUACCGUCCACACUUGACGGUACCAUCGGAGGAAGCACCGGCUAACUCCGUGCCAGCAGCCGCGGUAAUACGGAGGGUGCAAGCGUUGUUCGGAAUUAUUGGGCGUAAAGCGCGUGUAGGUGGUCAGGUAAGUCAGAUGUGAAAGCCUUCUGCUUAACAGAAGAAGUGCAUUUGAAACUGCUUGGCUAGAGUACGGGAGAGGAGAGUGGAAUUCCCGGUGUAGAGGUGAAAUUCGUAGAUAUCGGGAGGAACACCAGUGGCGAAGGCGGCUCUCUGGUCCGAUACUGACGCUGAGACGCGAAAGCGUGGGGAGCAAACAGGAUUAGAUACCCUGGUAGUCCACGCCGUAAACGAUGGGCACUAGGUGUAGGAGGUAUUGACCCCUUCUGUGCCGAAGCUAACGCAUUAAGUGCCCCGCCUGGGG
rnacentral:rRNA from 1 species